UACAAGUACCCCUGAGGGAAAGUUGCAAAGCACUUUGAAGAGAGAGUUAAAGAGGACGUGAAACCGAUAAGGUGGAAACGGAUAGAGCCAACGUAUCUGGCUUGUAUUCAGCUGUCAUCAGGGUUCUGACUUGUCUGGCAAUCCCGCUUCUGGUUGUCCAUGGCGAGUUGUUGGGCUCUGGUGGUAGUGCAUUUGCAAGUGGAGUGCGCUGAGGUGUGUGGUGUAGCGAUUCGAUCUUCGCCUUGAGGACACUUGACUGUGAACCCCGGGCGUUGGGAAAAUUGUCUAUGCUGCAUUCCCGCCAAUGGGGAGGCGCUUGUGGAUUGGAGCUUGAUCGCGGGGAUUGCUUGUAACGGCCGCAUGCGACGCGUGCUCGUUGUCUUCGCGUUUGAGUGAGAUCCCCUCUCCGGUGAUCUCGGUGUAAAAGUUGGUCAUCUAUCCGACCCGUCUUGAAACACGGACCAAGGAGUUUAGCGUAUGCGCGAGUCAUUGAGUGUUGAAACUCAAAGGCGUAAUGAAAGUGAAUCGAAAGUGAUAUGCGAUCCCUAGCACUUCGGUGGUUGGGAGCAGCAUAGCCCCGUUCCAAUCGCUUGCGAUGGGGCGGAGGUAGAGCGUAUUCGCUGAGACCCGAAAGAUGGUGAACUAUUCCUGAGCAGGAUGAAGCCAGAGGAAACUCUGGUGGAAGUCCGAAGCGUCUGACGUGCAAAUCGAUCGUCUGACUUGGUAUAGGGGCGAAAAGACUAAUCGAACCAUCUAGUAGCUGUGUCCUUCCGAUG
rnacentral:rRNA from 1 species